AGUGAAUGGGCUUCUCAUUUGGUGGCUUCUCUAGUUGUGGAGCACAGGCUUUUGAGCACACGGGCUUCAGUACUUACAGCACACGGGCUCUGUAUUUGCGGUUCCCUGGCUCUACGAGUACAGGCUCAACAGUUGUGGUGCACGGGCUUCGUUACUCCGUGGCAUGUGGGAUCUUGCAAGAUCAGGGAUCGAACCCGCGUCUCCUGCACUGGCAGGUGGAUUCUUUACCACUGAGCCACCAGGGAAGCCCUCAAUCACAUUACAUUUCUUGUGCACUUUAUUAUUAUGACAUCAGCUUCACCUCAGAUCAUCAGGCAUUAGAUCCCAGAAAGUGGGACUCCUGCUACAGGAUUAAAGGCACAGUCAGCCCUCAGUAUUUGUGGGAGAACUGCUUUCAAGCCCCUCUGCCGAUAUCAAAAUCCAUGGAGGCUGGAGUCCCAUCAUUGGCCUCUGUAUUCUCGGACGCAGAACUGGUCAAUACGAGGACCAAUUGUACUCAGCUUUGACUUAGUGGAAUGCCUGCAGGCAAAACAUCUUGCCUGCUGGCUAUAAAAGUUGCAAUUGUAGGAAACCUUUUUAUUACAUCUCAAGUUCCAGCCCCACAGAGGAGACGCAGGGACUGCCAUUCGAUCGAAGUGAGUUUGAUAAGAGGCACUGGGAAGCAUACGUCUAGGCACACACAGGGCACCUGUGUGGCUGCAUCGCUGCUGAACCGCCUGCCUCACCGUCUGCACCACCUUGGUCUUUGGGUCAGGCC
ensembl:lncRNA